CCGGACAUAGCUCAGCUGGCAGCAGCGAUGGAUUUAAGUUGGACAUCCCAGAGGUCGCCGGUUCGACUCCGGCUGUUCGGA
rfam:Pseudozyma antarctica T-34 DNA, contig: scaffold00016.